AGGGUGGAAGGUGUGUGGCAGGUCCUGUCCCGGAGGAGUGGAGUUAAGGGUCCUGGCGUGGCUGUUUUCCUGCAUGGAAGAUGGAGAUCCUGGGAGCUGUGAUGAGGAGGAGCAGAGCCAGCAGUGGCUCCUGUGUGGCAAUGGCUGCUUUGUGUGGUGCUCCCUGGGCUGAAAAGAGGAGGAGAAAAAAGUUUUUAGUGUUGUUCUUCAAAGCUCAGUUUCCCUUCAGCAAGAAGCUAUGGGGAGCUUCUAGGUCUAAUGCUGUUCCUCUGCUUUUGAGCUGAAUUUCUGCACGGCAGCCUUUCUCGAUUGCAGUAGGGCUUCCCUGGCUUGAAGAUGGGUGUGCUGUCCUGAGGGAGGAGCAGUGUUGGCUGUCUUACAGUGACCUUCUGCUUUCCUUUAAGAAGAGUCCACUAAGAACUGUAUUGGGUUUUUCAGUAGGUAACUCAGGAGAGGGCUUCUCGGUGAAAUCCUUUGUGUUGAAUUGCAGUAAGUUGAGUAUGUGAACCUUCCUCCCAAACUGAGACCGAACGCCAGCAAAAAUGCCAAAUAUGUUGUCCUGUUUCCCUUUAUAACAAAAGAUGUGGUACUUUGCUGGGGUUGCGCCUUUGUGUUCAAUGUUUGUAUGCAGUAUAUUGUAUCCUCAUGUGGGAGUCUGCCAUUAUUAACUGCACUGUUAAUAACUGUUAUUAUUAAUAUAAUAUAUUAAUAUAAACUGUAAAUUAAUAAUAAAAACUGUAAUUAUUAUUAAUAAAUUUACAGUUUAUAAUCCAGUUGUGCUGUGAUAGAAGUUCAGCAGCUGGAUAAUGCAGGAUAGAAAAUGGAGUUGACAGAGAUGCAAAACAACUCUCCUACUGCCUUGACUUGAACUGUGUCUCAGUGUGCUAUUACACUGACUCAUUAGUGCAAGCAGAUGUGUACCAUGAGGAAGGGCUGUUUUCUGAUGUGGGAUUUAGUUCUUGGGCCCGCUUUCCUGACAAGGGUUUUCUUUACCUACUCCCAUGGAUGAUAAAUGCUUUGAACUAGACCAGAGGAUAAGACUUCCUGCUUUUCUAACCCAGGCUUUCUCUUGAGCAGGAGGCUGUCACUGGAACACACAGGAACAGUCAGAGCAAUUACUGAAUUGGACUGUCUGAGCUGAAAGUUGAUGGUGCAUCCCUCUGGUAGAGGGAAUGCAAAAAAGAGAGGUCUUGAAUCAGUAGUGAGUUUAUUGCUGAAGAGCAAAGAUUCGUAUCUCACCCUAAGCUGGGUGUUUUUCACUGCCACACGCCCAGUCAUUUCACUAUACCCAUGUUCUGCCUGGUACCACUCUGACUACCUUCUACCACUAACAACCAGAAUGGCUGAGCAAGGAGUACUGUUUGCAGCUAGGAAGCCAAAAACAGCCAAAAACCC
rnacentral:lncRNA from 1 species